CUUUGCAACGGCACUUGUAACGAAAAAGUAAAUCGAGGCUGCUAAAACACAGGGCUGCACAGCAUCCUUGCACCUGCGUAGCCGAUAGGUACGGGUGACCGUUUAUCCCGGGCUCGUGUGGGCCCGGGUAGGCACGGUCAAAGAGUU
rfam:Giardia lamblia ATCC 50803 strain WB C6 ctg02_68, whole genome shotgun sequence.